UACGUAGGGCGCAAGCGUUGUCCGGAAUUAUUGGGCGUAAAGAGCUCGUAGGCGGUCUGUCGCGUCGGCUGUGAAAACCCGAGGCUCAACCUCGGGCCUGCAGUCGAUACGGGCGGCCUCGAGGGGGGUAGGGGCAUCUGGAACUGUGGGUGGAGCGGUGAAAUGCGUUGAUAUCCACAGGAACUCCGGUGGCGAAGGCGAGGUGCUGGACCCCAUCUGACGCUGAGGCGCGAAAGCCAGGGGAGCGAACGGG
rnacentral:rRNA from 1 species